rnacentral:tRNA from 1 species
CAGAAGAUAAUUUAUUAAAAAUAUUAACAUUGGAAGUUAAAAAAUUAGGGUAUAAACCUUAUCUUUUGA